GCCGAAAUAGCUCAGUUGGGAGAUCGGUAGACUGAAGAUCUAAAGGUCCCUGGUUCAAUCCCGUCUUUUGGCA
rfam:Danio rerio unplaced genomic contig NA735, GRCz11 reference primary assembly.